ACGGGAGGCAGCAGUGGGGAAUAUUGCACAAUGGGGGGAACCCUGAUGCAGCAACGCCGCGUGAAGGAAGACGGUUUUCGGAUUGUAAACUUCUAUCAAUAGGGAAGAAAGAAAUGACGGUACCUAAAUAAGAAGCCCCGGCUAACUACGUGCCAGCAGCCGCGGUAAUACGUAGGGGGCAAGCGUUAUCCGGAAUUACUGGGUGUAAAGGGAGAGUAGGCGGCAAGGUAAGCGAUAUGUGAAAGCCUUAGGCUUAACCUGAGGAUUGCAUAACGAACUAUCUAGCUAGAGUACAGGAGAGGAAAGCGGAAUUCCUAGUGUAGCGGUGAAAUGCGUAGAUAUUAGGAAGAACACCAGUGGCGAAGGCGGCUUUCUGGACUGAAACUGACGCUGAGGCUCGAAAGCGUGGGGAGCGAACAGGAUUAGAUACCCUGGUAGUCCACGCUGUAAACGAUGAGUGCUAGGUGUCGGGGAGGAAUCCUCG
rnacentral:rRNA from 1 species